rnacentral:rRNA from 1 species
UUGGAGGGCAAGUCUGGUGCCAGCAGCCGCGGUAAUUCCAGCUCCAAUAGCGUAUAUUAAAGUUGUUGUGGUUAAAAAGCUCGUAGUUGAACCUUGGGCCUGGCUGGCCGGUCCGCCUCACCGCGUGCACUGGUCCGGCCGGGGCCUUUCCCUCUGCGGAACCCCCAUGCCCUUCACUGGGUGUGGCGGGGAAACAGGACUUUUACUUUGAAAAAACUUAGAGUGCUCAAGGCAGGCCUAUGCUCGAAUACAUUAGCAUGGAAUAAUAGAAUAGGA